CCCCCUGGGUCACGAAGGAGUCUGGGAGAGGAUGGCUGUAGGACAGGAUCCCGUCCCUGCCCUGCUUUCACUCUCCGGGAGUGCAGCUCAGCCCUUGGCCGGGAGAUGGAGGUGCAGCAUCAGCUCCGGGCGGCGGGGGACAGCGCCCGGUCCUCGCAGCGCCCCUGCCCUGGGGCUCCGCCGGGAAGAGCACCUGCGGUGUUCCACAAAUCUCCGUCUCAGCAGCAUUUUCGACACCCGGAUUAGUUCCCUGCGUGCCCCUGUACAGCUCUGCUUUGGGGUCACGGUGGCCUUUGCCUUUCCUCAGCUGUUUGAAAAGAGCUGCCAGGCUGGAGUAACCCAAUGGAUAGCAGGGUGCCGUGGAUUGCUGCAGACCAAGGCUGGGAUGUGUAGAAGAUCACACAGUUAGGGAUCACCCACUUCACUUUAAAAACAAAUGCAAGAAAACUGUAUUCUGGUAAAAGGACAGGAUGGAAAUCAGUGACACUUGGGUAAGGAAUUAGAAUAAUUGGAGAACAUCUGAACAAAUAAAGCUGUGUUUGGAAAAGUG